UGGAAAAGUUGGACCUCAAGAUG
rnacentral:siRNA from 1 species